AACAGCUGUUCUUUGUACGAAUGGUGGCCAUUUUGUAAAAAAAAACACAUUAAAUGUGAUUUUUAACAUUUAAGGGUUUUUUACCCUAACCAGUGGUUAUAUCCCUGGGUUAAUUUUUAAAAUAUAGAAUGUGUUUGUUCGAAGUUUUCUCUUCUUUUGAGGUUUUUACACCUAUAAGACGAUAGCUCUGAUGAUGGCAUUAAUAUGCUGAAAGUACUUAGCUGAUUUAAUAAAUUAAUUUACACAC